CGUGAAGUCGGAAUCGCUAGUAAUCGCGGAUCAGCAUGCCGCGGUGAAUACGUUCCCGGGCCUUGUACACACCGCCCGUCACACCAUGAGAGUCGGGAACACCCGAAGUCCGUAGCCUAACCGCAAGGGGGGCGCGGCCGAAGGUGGGUUCGAUAAUUGGGGUGAAGUCGUAACAAGGUAUC
rnacentral:rRNA from 1 species